GUACAGCAAACAUUUCGGGGUUCAGUCCUUCAUCAAUGCAAAUGCCCACUGUUGAAGGAUUGAACCCUGAAAUGAUUGCUGCUC